rnacentral:rRNA from 1 species
ACGGCUAGCUGGUCUGAGAGGACGACCAGCCGCACUGGGACUGAGACACUGCCCAGACUCCUACGGGAGGCUGCAGUCGAGGAUCAUUGGCAAUGCGCGAAAGCGUGACCAUGCGACGCUGCGUGGAGGAUGAAGGCCUUCGGGUCGUAAACUCCUGUCAUGGGGGACAAAGGUGUUCCGCUCUAACAGAGCGGGACCUCGAUGGUACCUCAAGAGGAAGCCACGGCUAACUCUGUGCCAGCAGCCGCGGUAAUACAGAGGUGGCGAGCGUUGUUCGGAUUUACUGGGCGUAAAGGGUGCGUAGGCGGUUCGGUAUGUCGGAUGUGAAAUCCCGGGGCUCAACCCCGGAAGUGCAUCCGAAACUGCCGUACUAGAGUGCAGGAGGGGAGAGCGGAAUUCAUGGUGUAGCGGUGAAAUGCGCUGAUAUCAUGAAGAACAUCGGUGGCGUAGGCGGCUCUCUGGAAUGCAACUGACGCUGAGGCACGAAAGCUGGGGGAGCAAACAGGAUUAGAUACCCUGGUAGUCCCAGCUGUAAACGGUGCGCACUUGGCGUGGGGGGUAUUGACCCCCCCCGUGCCGUAGCUAACGCGAUAAGUGCGCCGCCUGGGGAGUACGGCCGCAAAGUUAAAACUCAAAGAAAUUGACGGGGGCCCGCACAAGCGGAGGAGCAUGUGGCUUAAUUCGAUGCAACGCGAAGAACCUUACCUGGGUUUGACAUGCAGCUGCACGUCCCAUGAAAGUGGGAUUCCUUCGAGGGUGCUGCACAGGUGCUGCAUGGCUGUCGUCAGUUCGUGCCGUGAGGUGUUUGGUUAAGUCCAGCAACGAACGCAACCCUUGUGUCUAGUUGCCAGCGGGUGAUGCCGGAACUCUAGGCAGACUGCCCGUAUACGCGGGAGGAAGGUGGUGAUGACGUCAAGUCAGUAUGGCCCUUACGCCCAGGGCUGCACACGUGCUACAAUGGCCGGUACAAUGGGAAGCAAGACCGCGAGGUGGAGCAAAUCCGUAAAACCGGCCUCAGUUCAGAUUGCAGGCUGCAACUCGCCUGCAUGAAGUUGGAUUCGCUAGUAACGGCGCAUCAGCUACGGCGCCGUGAAUACGUUCCCGGGCCUUGUACACACCGCCCGUCACAUCAUGAAAGCCGUCUGCACCCGAAGUCACCAAGCUAACCCGCAAGGGAGGCAGGUGCCGAAGGUGUGGGUGGUGAUUGGGAUGAAGUCGUAACAAGGUA